rnacentral:lncRNA from 1 species
CAUUUUGGAAACAACGGGGAAAACUCGUUCUUCCCAAACUGAACCGAGUUCAAAAACGAUUCAACCGGGUCAUUCCCUGACACCACCAUCACUCAAAACCGUAGACAGUCAUACAGAAUCCCAGAUUUUCAAAUAAAAGUUUCCCAAUCCACUAAUUCCUGUCAUGAAAACACGCCACAUAAUACUAAUAAAAGCAACAACUAUAGACCCAAAAUUCGAACUACGCCGUGUCAACACAUUGGCAUUUGGCUGGUUAAAUCCUUUGAUGAAAUCUGUAAAAUGAUCAACACUGGGCGUAUUUAUAUGUGCAUAUAAAAAUAUGUAUCCAUACGUAGAGGGAUUUGUAUUGAAACGGAUGAUAUUAGCUAUAUGGGAGUGAGAUUUGUAAACAUACAAUUGUAUAAAUCCAUGUUAGCUGGACGAAAUAGAUAAUGGGAUGCAAUUUCUAGGAAUUUUUUAUUUUUUAUUU